rnacentral:rRNA from 1 species
GACAGAGGGUGCAAACGUUGAUCGGAAUUACUGGGCGUAAAGCGCGUGUAGGCGGCCCGGAAAGUCGGAUGUGAAAGCCCUGGGCUUAACCUAGGAAGUGCAUUCGAAACUCUCGGGCUUGAGUUCUGGAGAGGAAGGCGGAAUUCUCGGUGUAGAGGUGAAAUUCGUAGAUAUCGAGAGGAACACCGGUGGCGAAGGCGGCCUUCUGGACAGUGACUGACGCUGAGACGCGAAAGCGUGGGGAGCAAACAGG